rnacentral:tRNA from 1 species
GUGGGCGUAGCUCAGUUGGUUAGAGCGUCUGGUUGUGGCCCAGAAGGUCGUGGGUUCAAUUCCCAUCGCUCACCCACCA